AUGGCUUCUUCCGUGACGGUCUCAUCCGUGCUUAAGCUGGGGGCCAUCGUCCUCUGCGUCGUGCUCGCCGCGUCGUCCGUGCGGCGGACGGCGCCGCGGGACUGUGACUCGCUCUGCGAGACCGCGUGCUCCUACCUCGAGUCAGCGGCGUGCAACGGUCUCUGCGGCGUCCCCGCCGCCGCCUCCUCCGAGAAGCCGACAUGCCAGUCCUGCAAGGAGGCGACCAAGAAGUCGUGCAACACCGAGUGCGUCAGCAUGUGCAACACCACGCCGGAUUCGCCGUCUAGCUGUAGUGCCAGAGACGCACGCGUUGGAGAGCUCCCGCCGCCGCCGACCACCGCGAGGGGCUUUGCCCCGGCGGCCCCGGCCAGCGGCGGCGAGGGGGAGAGGAGGUGGAGGAAGCCUAGUACGGCGGCGGCAGUUGUGCCCCCCGAGUCGCCCGCUGGACGACGCGGGGGCCUUUCCUUCCGGUUAGAGAUCCUAUUAAGAAACUAA
rnacentral:rRNA from 1 species